AACGAACGCUGGCGGCAUGCCUAACACAUGCAAGUCGAACGAAGCCUCCGGGCUUAGUGGCGCACGGGUGCGUAACGCGUGGGAAUCUGCCCUUGGGUUCGGAAUAACAGUUAGAAAUGACAGCUAAUACCGGAUGAUGUCUUCGGACCAAAGAUUUAUCGCCCAAGGAUGAGCCCGCGUAGGAUUAGGUAGUUGGUGGGGUAAUGGCCCACCAAGCCGACGAUCCUUAGCUGGUCUGAGAGGAUGAUCAGCCACACUGGGACUGAGACACGGCCCAGACUCCUACGGGAGGCAGCAGUGGGGAAUAUUGGACAAUGGGCGAAAGCCUGAUCCAGCAAUGCCGCGUGAGUGAUGAAGGCCUUAGGGUUGUAAAGCUCUUUUACCAGGGAUGAUAAUGACAGUACCUGGAGAAUAAGCUCCGGCUAACUCCGUGCCAGCCGCCGCGGUAA
rnacentral:rRNA from 1 species